rnacentral:rRNA from 1 species
UGGGGAAUCUUCCGCAAUGGACGAAAGUCUGACGGAGCAACGCCGCGUGAACGAUGAAGGUCUUCGGAUUGUAAAGUUCUGUGAUCCGGGACGAAGGCAUCAAUUGAGAACAUUGAUUGAUGUUGACGGUACCGGAAAAGCAAGCCACGGCUAACUACGUGCCAGCAGCCGCGGUAAUACGUAGGUGGCAAGCGUUGUCCGGAAUUAUUGGGCGUAAAGCGCGCGCAGGCGGCCGUGCAAGUCCAUCUUAAAAGCGUGGGGCUUAACCCCAUGAGGGGAUGGAAACUGCAGGGCUGGAGUGUCGGAGGGGAAAGUGGAAUUCCUAGUGUAGCGGUGAAAUGCGUAGAGAUUAGGAAGAACACCGGUGGCGAAGGCGACUUUCUAGACGACAACUGACGCUGAGGCGCGAAAGCGUGGGGAGCAAACAG